rnacentral:lncRNA from 1 species
GCGGACAAUCGACCCACAAAAAUUAAAGAAGAAAACCAUCAACUCAUUAAAUUUAAAUUUGACCCAACCACCAACCAACCCUUUCUUUUUCUCAUCACUCAAUUUUCAAACCUCCACAAACUCGCCACUCCACUCCACUCCACCUCCCUCUCUCUAUAUAACACCCUGCAGACCCAUUGUCCUCCCCACAACUACAAAUCGGGAAAGAGAGAAAAGAGUGAGAAUUUCGGAGAUAAUCAUGGCGAACGUGAAGUUGGCUUGUGGGUUGGUGUUGUUUAUGGUGGUGGCUGGGGCUCUGACCAGCGAGGCUCUGACGUGCGGCCAAGUAGCAUCAUCACUGGCGCCGUGUCUGAGUUACUUGCAAGGUAGGGCUGGUAGUUCUCCGUCGGUAUCAUGCUGCGCCGGCGUCAGGAGCCUUAACAAUGCAGCCCAAACGACACCGGAUCGGAAAACCGCUUGCCAGUGUCUGCAGAGUGCUGCCAGGGCCACCAACUUUAAUCAGAAAAUUGCCGCUAGUCUUCCCGGCGAGUGCGGCGUCAGCAUUCCCUACAAGAUCAGCACCAGCACCAACUGCAACACGUACCUACUCGAAUCUUUAAUACAUAAAUGUGUGUAUAUGAAUGAUCCAUUUUGUGUCUAAUUUUCUUGUUUUGCUUGUUUUUGUGAUGCAGAAUCAAGUGAAGAAACCGGGUUGACAUGAGAAGAUUAGAAGAGCAUGCGGGCGUCGUCGUAAGACAAUAAUAAUGAUGAAAAAAUAAAAAAUAAAGAAAGAUAGAGGCGACGUCGUUUAUGGAAGUUCAGAGCUGCUGAGUCAGUCUGGAUUGCUCAUAUAAUUUUCUUACUGUUUGUAUUUGCUUGUGUUGUUUGACGCCCUUACUGGUUGUAUGCUUUCGUUGAGAUAAUUUUUAACUAGACAAAUCUUCCUUGUUAUUAUUCUCUUUCCUUGUUCUUCUUCUUUCAUCAUAACUCAAUUUUAAAUGCUUCUACACACACACACACACACAUAUAUAUAUAUACGUUUUAAUAAAUAUGUAUUGAAUCAACAUUUAAACUCAAAUUUUAACCAUUGAUUUUGGACCGUACGUGGGGUGAGCAUAAUUAGUUUUGGACCCUUCCUCGUGCGAGAAUAAUCAUUUAUUAACUAAAUAUAACAAAUAUAUUAAUUGAAAACAUUAUUGACUUUAAUAAAUAUAUCUAUCUCGAACUUUUUAAUUUUUGGCAAAAUUAAAUAAAAGAAAAAAACUGUUUUAAUUAUAAAAAAUUUAUUAUAAUUUUUUAAUGACAUGUUUUGAUCGUUACUUCAAAAAAUAUUGGUUUAAGAUAAGCGGAAUAUGCAGGAAGGCGUUAGAUUUUCUCAGCGCAUUGGGACCGUUAUGGACUCGAGAAGUAGAUACUUAGAAUUCAACUAAUUGGUGGAAGAAAGUGUAAUUCAUCCAAGUAACAAAAAUUCAACCAAACGUAGAACGAGUCACCAGACUCAGUUCCUCCAAUACGAACGAACACGGUCUUACCAGUUUUUGAAUGGGCGAACCCAGCCACAUAAUAAUAUUUAUUUAUUUCAAAUUAAUUGUCGGCGACAUCAAUUGAACUGCCUACCAAAACAGACACGGAGAGCUAUAAAUUUCAUGUAUGGCCGCUCGCUCCUCCACGUGUUGAUAUUUUAUUCGUUGGGUUGCUGUGUGUACGGCAUGGACCGACAAAUUAAAGGUUAGUAAAAUAAUUAUAUAAGGAAAUUUAUAAAACAAUGAGACCAAAUAUUUAAUAUAUUAAUGAAAUUGCCGCUGAAAUAAAUAUUAUGUAAUAAUUAAAUAUCUUUUUAUUAAAAUAAUUACGUUGAAUUAAAAAUUUAGUUUAAUAAUUUUUAUCAUUAUAAAAAAAAAAAAAUAACAUUGUUAAUAGUUAAGACUGUAACAAAAAUAAUAUCCUUAUAAAUUAAUUAAGAUAAUGUAAUUGUUAUUGGUAAAAGUAUGAUAUUUAUAUAAGAUAUUGAAUGGGUUAAAUUUUUUUUGCAAGAAUAGUUAGAGAACUUAAAAGAAUAAAAUAAACAUUUUGAAUUACAAAAAUAUUUUUGUUAAAAAAUAAUUCUAUAUGAGAUUUUACUAUAAUUAAUAUUAAGUACGUGUUAAUUUCAUAAAUUAUAUAAAUUGCGAGUUAUUAUUUCAUAUUAUUUCACUUUCAUUUGGUUGCAUGUUUGUGAUUUCAAAAGAAAGCAAUAACCAUUGACUUAUGGUUCAUAACAUGAUUCUCGGUUAUUUUGAAUUUAUAAAUUUCUAUUUAAAAUAAAUUAUUAAAAUUGAUUAGUGGUCCAAUAUUUAUAGAACGUCAAAAAUCAUGUACAUGAUUUGAUAGAUUUCUAAAAUUUAAAGUGUAAUUGUAUACUUGGCUACAAUUUACUUGUUUGAGUACAAAAUUUUAAAAAUAUAUAUACAUAAUUGUUGAUUAAAUAUUGAUUUGCCACGUGUACCAUCCUGCCUUAUAAAUUCCAAAAAUUAAUUAAUGUGCAUCAACUUAUUAAAUUAAAAAUUAGCCCAACCACCAACUAACCUAUUCUUUUCUCAUCACUCGACUUUCGUACUUCUUCUACGCACUCUCCACUCUCUAUAUAACACCCUGCAAGCCCUCGUAUUUCCUCGCAGCUACAAAUCGGGAAAGAGAGAAAAAGAGUGAGGAAUUCAGAGAUAAGCAUGGCGAACGUGAAGUUGGCUUUUGGGUUGGUGUUGUUUAUCGUGGUGGCUGGGGCUCUGACCAGCGAGGCUCUGACGUGCGGCCAAGUAGCGUCUGCGCUUGGGCCAUGUCUAACUUACUUGCAAGGCCAAGCUGGUAAUUCUCCGCCGGCAGCAUGCUGCGCCGGUGUCAGGAGCCUUAACAGCGCAGCCCAAACGACGCCGGAUCGAAGAGCCGCUUGCCAGUGUCUGCAGAAUGCGGCCAGGUCUACCAACUUUGAUCAGAACAUUGCUGCUAGUCUUCCAGGCAAGUGCGGCGUCAGCAUUCCCUACAAGAUCAGCACCAGCACCAACUGCAACACGUACCUACUCAAAUCUUUAAUGAAGAUAUAUAUAUAUAUAUAUAUAUAUAUAUGUACAUAAAUAUAUAUGAACGGUCCAUUGUGUAUCUAAUUUUCUUGUUUUGCUUGUUUUUGUGGUGCAGAAUCAAGUGAAGAAAUCGAGUAGACAUGAGAAGAGAUUAGAAGAGCAUGCAUGCAUCGUCAUAUAAUAAUAAUAAUAAUAAUAAUAGUGAAAAAAUAAAGGUAGAUGCGACGUCGUUUAUGGAAGUUCAGAGCUGACGAGUCACUCUGGAUUGCUCAUAUAGUUUUCUACUACUUGUAUCACGUAUGACUGGAUGUAUGGAUAUCGUUGAAAUGAGUUUUAGCCUUGUACUCUACUUCCUUCCUCUUCCUCCUCUUUCAUUAACUACUUUAUUUAUUAAUUAAACAUAUAUAAAUACAUAUCCAACCCACAUUUAAACUACCAUUAAUCUCGGAUUGUACCUAGCUUGGGACAGUACUUGGGGUGAAAAUAACUGGAUUAUUAAUUUUUUUUAAUUUAUAAAAAAUAAAUAUAACAAAUAUAUUAAUUGAAAACAUUAUUAUAACAAAUAUAAUUAUAAAAAAUUAUUAAUUAAAAACUUUUAUUUUUCUUUAUUAAAAAAAAACUAUGCUUUUUUUUUUUUAUUUUUGGUCAAAACUCGUACUUCUUUAAAAAUUAAAAAAAAAAAACCAUAUUAAUUAUAAAAAAUUUUAUUACAUCUCGAUAGAGUUUUUAAAUGAUAUAUUUUGAUCAUUUUGGUCAUUACUUAAAAAAAAAAAAAAAUGUUAACAAUUUAUAUACAAAAUACUAUCAUUAACACUUAAAUAGUUAGAUAUCUGACUUGUAAUCACGACAAUUCAAUUACAAAAUAUAAAACUCUACGAACCGAACUAUAUCUACCUAAGUCGAGUGAAGUAUACAUCAAAUACUUUUUCUAUUUUCUUUCCAAUUGCAGCUAGGCUAUUAUGGACUUGAACUAGAUACAUCACUCAGUGAAAUAAAUAUCACACUUACGGUUUAAUUAAUUAGAAGAUAAUUAAAAAGUAAAAAAAUUUUACUUUUUUAUUCAACCAAACAUGUAUUAUUUAUUUGGAUUGGCUCGAGUCAGCGAACUUAAAUCCCGUUGUGAACAAAAGCGGUUUGAAUGGGCCGAUUCGGCUCAAACCGAGCCCCCUAGUCCCACAUAAUAAAAUUAUUUAUUUAUUAAAUUGUUGGCAAAUUAAUUGAACUGCAGAAGUCGAAGGCUAUAAAUUUCACGUUACGGCCAUGGAUGUAUGUACAGUCAAAACCCGCUUGUCCACGUGUCAAUUUUUUAUGGGCUGGGCUGCUGGGUGUACGGCGCAGAUUUGACAAAUUAAAAGCGCCUUACCAAAAAAGUCUUUCAUCAUUUGGAGCUUUCCGGUGUGUGUGAAUUUUUUUAAAGAGUUACGGAAAAUAAGGUUUGUAAACUAAUUAUUUGGAAACUUUUUCAGAAAAAAAAAUAAAUAAGAGUUUUUAAAUCUCUUCAAAUUCCUAUAAGUUCUUAUUGGGAUGAUUUAAAACAUUUAAUCAACAUUCUUAAGAGUUAAAUUUAAUAAAUAUACGCACUUAUAAUAGCAUUACUAUAUUAUUAAUAGCGAAAUUAAAAUUUAAUUUAUUAGUAUGUUAAUAGAAUUUUAACGACUAAUUAUGAAUAAGUUUCACUAAAUCUAUUACCUUUAUGAUCCAAAUAAACAUUUUGACAAUUAUGUUUAUUUAGUUGAAUAAUCGUAAUAAAUUAAAAACUCAAUAUAAUAUUUUUAUCAUUAAAACAAAAUUGUAUUAUUGAUAGUUAAGAUUAUAAAAUUAAACUUUUUUACACCCUAAAAACUUAUUAACAUAAACAUAUUCUUAAAUUAUAGUGUAAAUUAAUUAAUGUUAUAUGUAUAAUUAAAUUUACUAUUUGUAAAAAUAUUACAGUAUGAGAUUUAUAUAAGGUAUUGGAUAUAUAUAUAUAUAUUUGAAAUAAUAGUUAGGAAACUUAAAAAAUAGAACGAAUGUUUGAUAUCAAAAUCAUGGUCAUUGAAGGACCUCCAAAUUAUUAAAAAUUUAAAUUUGAAAAAAUUCAAAUUAAAUAUAUGUGUAUUAAAUUUUUUUAAACAUUCAAGAUAUUUAUAUGUUUAAAUUAACAAUAUCAUAUUAUAUAACCUAUUGAUUAAAUCACAUAUAUUGAAAUUAAUGAAAUAAACCAACAUCUUUAAAUAUCAAAUUUAAUUUCUUUGGGGAUUUGAUUAAUAUAUUACAUUAAAUAAUUAAAUCUAUAGUAUAUAAUUUUUAUAAUGUAAUGUGAUAUGCAAAUAAAUAUAUAAAGUAGUAAUAGUAAUAAUAUAAGAGAUUGAAAAAUUAUGUACACGAUUUGAUAGAUUUCUAAAAUUUAAGUGUAAUUGGCUACAAUUUACUUGUCAAGUACACAACUACAAAAAUAAAAUUAUUAAUUAAAUCCUCAUGUCCUGUAAAUUCAAAAAAUGUAUAAAUGUGCGGCAACUUAUUGAAUUAAAAUUGGCCCAACCACCAACUAGCCCAUCACCCGACUUUCAUACUUCUACACACUCUCCCCUCCAGCUCUCUCACUAUAUAACACCCAGCCGAGCCCUCAUCUUUCCUCACAAGGCAUAGAUCAGAAAGAAGAAAAGAAAAAAAGAGUGAGGAAUUCAGAGAUAAGCAUGGCGAUCGUGAAGUUGGCUUUUGGUUUGGUGUUGUUUAUGGUAGUGGCUGGGGCUCUUACCAGCGAGGCUCUGACGUGCGGCCAAGUAGCGUCUGCGCUUGGGCCAUGUCUCACUUACUUGCAAGGCCAAGCUGGUAAUUCUCCGCCGGCAGCAUGCUGCGCCGGUGUCAGGAACCUUAACAGCGCAGCCCAAACGACGCCGGAUCGAAGAGCCGCUUGCCAGUGUCUGCAGAAUGCGGCCAGGUCUACCAACUUUGAUCAGAACAUUGCUGCUAGUCUUCCCGGUCAAUGCGGCGUCAGCAUUCCCUACAAGAUCAGCACCAGCACCAACUGCAACACGUAAGUACUCAAAUCUUUAAUAAAGAUAUAUAUAUAUAUAUAUAUAUGUACAUAAAUAUAUAUGAACGGUCCAUUGUGUAUCUAAUUUUCUUGAUUUGCUUGUUUUUGUGGUGCAGAAUCAAGUGAAGAAAUCGAGUUGACAUGAGAAGAGAUUAGCAGAGCAUGCAUGCAUCGUCAUAAAAUAAUAAUAAUAAUAAUAAUAAUAAUAAUAAUAAUGAAAAAAAAACAAGAAUAAAGGCAGAUGCGACGUCGUUCAUGAAAGUUUCAGAGCCGAUGUAGAUGCGACGUCGUUUAUGAAAGUUCAGAGCUGACGAGUCACUCUGUAUUGCUCAUAUAAUACUUACGCUGUAUCACGUAUGACCGGAUGUAUGCUAUGGUUGAGAUGAGUUUUAUAGCUAUAUAAUCUUUACUUGAUUAUUCUCCUUCUUUUUCCUCCUCUUUCAUUACAACUUUAUCUCCUUUUUUUUUUCCUUUAAGAAAGUUUAACCCAAAUUUAGAAUAAAUAAAUAAAUAAAUAAAUAAUUAUAUACAUAAUUUUUAAUAAAUACAUAUCGAAUCCACAAUUAAACUCGAAUUAACUCAAAAUUUAACCAUUGAUAUGGGAUUUUACAUGGAUUGAGCGUUGGAUGGUACUUAGGGUUAAAAUAAUUGGAUUAUUAAUUAUAAGUAAUAUUAUUUUUAUUUUAAUAUAGUAAAGUUGUUAAUUAACAAAAAAAUAAAUAUAACAAAUAUAUGAAUUGAAAAUAUUAUUGACCUCGUUUAAAUUAUUUAUAAAAAAUAUCCAUCUCUAACUUUCAAUAUAUAUAUAUAUAUUAAAACUAUACUUUUAUCUAAUAAUAUUUUGUAUUUUUGGCCAAAAUUCAUCUUUCUCUAAAAAUUGGAAGAAAAAUGUUAUCUUGUUUAUAAAAAGUUUGUUAUGUCUCCGUGGAGUCUUUUCAAUUGUAUAUUUCUAUCAUAUUCGUUAUUGUUUAUGAAAAUUGAGUCACCUAUUAAAAUACGAAAUAUUAUUAUUAUUGUUGGAAUAAUUAAAUAUCCAAUGCGUAAUCACAAUAACUUAAUUGUAUAAAUGAAGUUAUACCAACUAAGUUACAUAUACCUAAGCCAAGCAGAGCAUGCGUGGAGUCAAGAGGCUUCUUCUAUUAUUAUUAUUAUUUUUAUUAGCGCAAUCGGAUCACUUUAGAAUUAAAUUAAAUACAUAAAUUAUGACACUUACGAUUCAAUUAAUUGGGAGAUGAUCAAUCAAUAAACCUCUUCGAUGAGCGACUCAUCNNNNNNNNNNNNNNNNNNUUUGGAUCGAGUAAGCAGAUUUAAUCCCAUUAUGAACACAACCGGAACGCUGCCUUACAAGUUAGAAUGGGCCGAUCCGGCUCGAACCGAGCUCCUGGUCCCGCAUAAAAAUUUUUAUUAUUUAUUUUUUUAUUAAAUUGUUGGAAAAUUAAUUGAACCGCGGAAGGUGGGAAGGCUGUAAAUAACAUGUUACGGGCACGGAUGUACUCGCCCGUCCACGUGUCAACAUCUUAUGGGUUGGAGCUUCCCAGUGUGUUUUCAGAUUUUUUAAGGAGUGAUCAUUUUGAAACUUUCUCAGAAAAAUAAAGUAAAUAACUAAUGGGUUAAUAAAGACUGUAUGAGAAACCAAUAGUAAUGAAUUUGGUGCUAUCAAAGUUUGGCACCGAUCUGGAUUUGGUACUGACAUUGCACGUUAUUAGGUGUAAGGAGGGUGACAUAGUUGGAUAUGUGGCGUACCAACAUCAUGCACGUGGAAUACAUCCUAAAAGGUCCAAAAAGUGUUUUUGUUUUUUUAUUAAAAAAAAAAAAAUAGUUAAAUAUUGAUUUGCCACGUGUAUCAUCCGGUCCUAUAAAUUCCAAAUUUUAAUUAAUGUCCGUCGAUUUAUUAAAUUAAAAUUUCGACAACAACCAACUAACUCACUCUUUUUUCUCAUCACUCGAACUUUCGUACUUCUACACACUUUCCACUCCCUCUCUAUAUAAUACCCUGCACAGCCCUCGUCUCUCCUCACAACUCGGGAAAGAGAGAGAAAAAAAAAAAAGAGUGAGGAAUUCGGAGAUAAGCAUGGCGAACGUGAAGUUGGCUUGUGGCCUGGUGUUGUUUGUGGUGGUAGCUGGGGCUCUGACCACCGAGGCUCUGACUUGCAGCCAAGUAGCAUCUGCUCUGGGGCCAUGUCUCGCUUACUUGCAAGGCCAAGCUGGUAAUUCUCCGACGGCAGCAUGCUGCGCCGGUGUCAGGAGCCUUAACAGUGCAGCCCAAACGACACCGGAUCGGAGAACCGCUUGCCAGUGUCUGCAGAGUGCGGCCAAGGCUACCAAAUUUGAUCUCAGUAUUGCUGCUAGUCUUCCCGGCCAAUGCGGCGUUAGCAUUCCCUACAAGAUCAGC